GGUUUGAUUUUGGGCUCUAACCGGACGGUGGCCGGGUCUGAAUCUUAAUAGAAGUAGAAGAGACGCACGCUAGCCAAGUGAAAAGAAAUGGGAAAAACAUUCACUCUCAUUCAAACAGUUGCCACUGCAGGAUUAUUCUCUGCUGUUUCCUUUUGGUAUGGUUUUAUGUUCGGAAGAGAAUCAGCUCGCAAGGAGCUCGGUGACUUGAUUGAAGAUCUUCGCCGUGGAAAUUCCUCUUCAACUCCUCCUCCAAAUUCCUAAUUGGUGUUGGCUGAUAUGCGAAGAUGUCGGAAAUGACUAUUCAUAAUUGGUCUAGAUGAUUGGAUGCCUAAACUACAUCAACAAAUUGAAAGAACCUGUAGUUUCCUUGUAUGAUGAUUGAGAAAUCAAUGACUGUCAUGUUUGCUCAUGCCCGGUGUUGGUUUUGGAGUCACACUCUGCUAGUCGUAUGUUUUGGCCACCUUCUGACAUGCUUUUUACAAACUCCACAAGGUGUUGCCAAUUAUCCCCUUCAAACAACUUCUUAUUCAUUCUUAGAUAUGUAAAUGCUACCAAUCCAUUGCCAGAUUCUGAUCUACUUGUUGACAAAACUUGUGCAUAUGCACCUGCAUCAUACCUCUCCAAUGCAUUCUCUCCAGCCAGUUCAAUUCCAGCAGUCCUUGUGACCAUCUUCACUUGCCGCACUAAUCCUUCUGCCGAGCAAUUUGCACUUUCAGGUUGUUCUUGAUCUCGCAUUUCCAUGCAGGAAACCUCCAUGUUCCAUUGCUUUCUGGAUAUGCUGGGUAUCGUAGCUCUCCGCAAGGUCCCAUCCCCACUUGAAUUUCCUGCAAUAGAGAUUGAAUCAAUGUUUUAAGCUUCAAGAAAUAAUACAUUCUUUAAUGUCAGUCAUAUGUGAGGAAGACAUAUUGUGGGCUUGUGCUUUGGGUGCGUCUGUUGUAAUAUCCUUUCUUUUGUAAUGGUAUUUCUUUCUUAUAAAAGAAAUUGUUGACAGACUUA